GUGAGGAAUAUUGGUCAAUGGGCGCAAGCCUGAACCAGCCAUGCCGCGUGCAGGAAGACGGUCCUCUGGAUUGUAAACUGCUUUUGAAUGGGAAGAACACCACCCUUGCGAGGGUGAUUGACGGUACUAUUAGAAUAAGCACCGGCUAACUCCGUGCCAGCAGCCGCGGUAAUACGGAGGGUGCAAGCGUUAUCCGGAUUUAUUGGGUUUAAAGGGUGCGUAGGCGGCUUCAUAAGUCUGGGGUUAAAGGCAGCAGCUUAACUGUAUGCAUGCCCUGGAAACUGUGAAGCUUGAGUGACUUGGAGGUAGCGGGAAUUCCCUGUGUAGCGGUGAAAUGCAUAGAUACGGGGAGGAAUACCGAUUGCGAAGGCAUGUUACUACGAGUAAACUGACGCUGAUGCACGAAAGCGUGGGGAUCAAACAGGAUUAGAAACCCCGGUAGUCC
rnacentral:rRNA from 1 species